GACGAACGCUGGCGGUGUGCUUAACACAUGCAAGUCGAACGAAGAGCGAUGGAAGCUUGCUUCUAUCAAUCUUGUGGGCAACCGGUGAGGAAAGGGUAAAUAAACUUCCCCUUCGGGGGGGGAAAAAGGUGGAAAACAACUGCUAAUACGGCAUAGAACCCAAUCCGGGCAUCGGGACGGGAGGAAGGGGGCCCUCUUUUAAUAAGCAACAAUUGAGGAGGGGGAUUGGUCUGAUUAGCUAGUUGGAGGGGUAACGGCCCACCAAGGCGAUGAUCAGUAGCCGGUCUGAGAGGAUGAACGGCCACAUUGGGACUGAGACACGGCCCAGACUCCUACGGGAGGCAGCAGUGGGGAAUCUUCCGCAAUGGACGAAAGUCUGACGGAGCAACGCCGCGUGAGUGAUGACGGCCUUCGGGUUGUAAAGCUCUGUUAAUCGGGACGAAUGGUUCUUGUGCGAAUAGUGCGAGGAUUUGACGGUACCGGAAUAGAAAGCCACGGCUAACUACGUG
rnacentral:rRNA from 1 species